UUAAAUUGAAGAGUUUGAUCAUGGCUCAGAUUGAACGCUGGCGGCAGGCCUAACACAUGCAAGUCGAACGGUAACAGGAAGCAGCUUGCUGCUUUGCUGACGAGUGGCGGACGGGUGAGUAAUGUCUGGGAAACUGCCUGAUGGAGGGGGAUAACUACUGGAAACGGUGGCUAAUACCGCAUAACGUCGCAAGACCAAAGAGGGGGACCUUCGGGCCUCUUGCCAUCAGAUGUGCCCAGAUGGGAUUAGCUUGUUGGUGAGGUAACGGCUCACCAAGGCGACGAUCCCUAGCUGGUCUGAGAGGAUGACCAGCCACACUGGAACUGAGACACGGUCCAGACUCCUACGGGAGGCAGCAGUGGGGAAUAUUGCACAAUGGGCGCAAGCCUGAUGCAGCCAUGCCGCGUGUAUGAAGAAGGCCUUCGGGUUGUAAAGUACUUUCAGCGGGGAGGAAGGUGUUGUGGUUAAUAACCGCAGCAAUUGACGUUACCCGCAGAAGAAGCACCGGCUAACUCCGUGCCAGCAGCCGCGGUAAUACGGAGGGUGCAAGCGUUAAUCGGAAUUACUGGGCGUAAAGCGCACGCAGGCGGUCUGUCAAGUCGGAUGUGAAAUCCCCGGGCUCAACCUGGGAACUGCAUUCGAAACUGGCAGGCUUGAGUCUUGUAGAGGGGGGUAGAAUUCCAGGUGUAGCGGUGAAAUGCGUAGAGAUCUGGAGGAAUACCGGUGGCGAAGGCGGCCCCCUGGACAAAGACUGACGCUCAGGUGCGAAAGCGUGGGGAGCAAACAGGAUUAGAUACCCUGGUAGUCCACGCCGUAAACGAUGUCUACUUGGAGGUUGUGCCCUUGAGGCGUGGCUUCCGGAGCUAACGCGUUAAGUAGACCGCCUGGGGAGUACGGCCGCAAGGUUAAAACUCAAAUGAAUUGACGGGGGCCCGCACAAGCGGUGGAGCAUGUGGUUUAAUUCGAUGCAACGCGAAGAACCUUACCUGGUCUUGACAUCCACGGAACUUUCCAGAGAUGGAUUGGUGCCUUCGGGAACCGUGAGACAGGUGCUGCAUGGCUGUCGUCAGCUCGUGUUGUGAAAUGUUGGGUUAAGUCCCGCAACGAGCGCAACCCUUAUCCUUUGUUGCCAGCGGUCCGGCCGGGAACUCAAAGGAGACUGCCAGUGAUAAACUGGAGGAAGGUGGGGAUGACGUCAAGUCAUCAUGGCCCUUACGACCAGGGCUACACACGUGCUACAAUGGCGCAUACAAAGAGAAGCGACCUCGCGAGAGCAAGCGGACCUCAUAAAGUGCGUCGUAGUCCGGAUUGGAGUCUGCAACUCGACUCCAUGAAGUCGGAAUCGCUAGUAAUCGUGGAUCAGAAUGCCACGGUGAAUACGUUCCCGGGCCUUGUACACACCGCCUGUCACACCAUGGGAGUGGGUUGCAAAAGAAGUAGGUAGCUUAACCUUCGGGAGGGCGCUUACCACUUUGUGAUUCAUGACUGGGGUGAAGUCGUAACAAGGUAACCGUAGGGGAACCUGCGGUUGGAUCACCUCCUUACCUGAAAGAAGC
rnacentral:rRNA from 2 species